AAGUCGUAACAAGGUAACCGUAGGUGAACCUGCGGUUGGAUCAUUAGCGAAAAUAGCCACCUGGGUUUGUAACCUGGGUGGGUUCGUUGGUUUGUGAAUUGUUUAUGUUUUGAGCAAGUUUGAUAGCAGGUUCAAGUUUUUUUCAAGACUUUUGAGUGCGCUUGUACUUGUCUCUUGUUGAUCGCAGAGUGAAAGAGUCCAAGUUAGAAUAGGGAGACAGCUGGUAUGAGGGUGAACCUCCGUGAGCUUUUGGCGUCUGAAUACCAUCAAUGUUGUCGAACCAUAAAUCACCUGUAUACUCUUGGGACUUGGAAGCUUAGCUUUCGUUAUAUAUAUGAAAAUGAAUUUUAAUACUGGCCUUUAAAAUCUUGUUGUAAUAACAAAAAAUACAACUUUUGGCAAUGGAUCUCUAGGCUCUC
rnacentral:misc_RNA from 1 species